UACAGAGGUCUCAAGCGUUGUUCGGAUUCAUUGGGCGUAAAGGGUGUGUAGGUGGCGCCGUAAGUCGGGUGUGAAAUCCCUGGGCUCAACCGAGGAAGUGCAUCCGAAACUAAUUAGCUAGAGAGUGGCAGAGGAAGGUGGAAUUCCUAGUGUAGAGGUGAAAUUCGUAGAUAUUAGGAGGAAUACCGGUGGCGAAGGCGGCCUUCUGGACCAUUUCUGACACUGAGACGCGAAAGCGUGGGGAGCAAACAGG
rnacentral:rRNA from 1 species